AAAUAAUAUUUUAAUACAAAUAAUUUUAGAAUCACUAAAGCAUUGCUGGGACUAAUGUGAAAAGAGUAUUUAUUUUGUUCAAUAAGUUUAGCAGAUGGUGAUUUUAAUUGAAGGAAACAUAUUCGUAAGAUCUAUGAAGUCGCACCUGGAAAGAGGAAAAGAAGGAAAUAAAAAUUUUAAAAGACUACUUCCUCUCUUCCGCCAUACAGUGGAUUCAGUGCGGGAAAUAUAACAAGUCUGGAGUUCUAUACUACAAGGGAGGCAGCAAAGCGGAUUGAAACAGGGCAUAAAGUUCCAUAAGUAGGCGCACAUCUUCACUAUUAGCGCUCUCUCGCUCGGUUGUAUUAAAUGCCAAAAUUGUGCUGAACUGAUGUCGACAGCUCACAUUGACCGCUGGUCGUUAGGACGUUGUGGGAAAACUAGACUACUUCCAAGGAAUUUGUCAGUGUGUAGGCCGCCUUAAAGUGGACUCACUAAAUAACUUGCCGGAUAUCAAGGCAUCUAGUUAAAAUAUGAUG